UACGUAGGGGGCAAGCGUUGUCCGGAAUCAUUGGGCGUAAAGAGCGCGUAGGCGGCCCUGUAAGUCCGCUGUGAAAGUCAAGGGCUCAACCCUUGGAUGCCGGUGGAUACUGCAGGGCUAGAGUCCGGAAGAGGCGAGUGGAAUUCCUGGUGUAGCGGUGAAAUGUGUAGAGAUCGGGAGGAACACCGGUGGCGAAGGCGGGUCUCUGGGCAAUUCCUGACGCUGAGGCGCGAAAGCGUGGGGAGCAAACAGG
rnacentral:rRNA from 1 species